rnacentral:sRNA from 1 species
AAACCGGAGAGGUCGCGCGUUUGGAGC